rnacentral:lncRNA from 1 species
CGUGCAUUAAUUGUUUGCUGACCAUUGUGACUCAAACUAAAAAAUUUAUGCUCAGCAGACUACAUUCCAGUCUAUAGAAUAAAAUAAAUGAGUUUAUUACAUCCCAAAGCAAACUACAUUAUAGAUGAGUCCAUAAUACAUAUGUCUUUCCUCCGCCCACAACUGCAAAGGAAAAGUCAAUGCUCCCUGAUUAAUUCUGAAAUGAUAAAAUUCCAGUCUAUAUUCAAAGUGAGUCCAGAAUACAUACUUCAAAAUGAUUAAUCCAUAAAUGUGCGGACUACACAAAAAUAUUUGUCAUGUAGCUAACGCCUAACAGUGCUUGAAUUUCUGCAGCUUCAAAGUUCAAACAAUAGCUUAAUCCAUAAGUGAGUAGAUCCCUGUAAAAAAUAUGCAUACACCAAAUUUCAGCAUUAGGCAACGAAGUAGAGACUGUGAUAAAUACUACUGUUAACUAGUAUGCAUACACCUAAAGCCCAUUAACAACUCCGAAAAUUUUUUUUAAAAAAACUAAUCUCAAUUAACUAAUAUUUAACAAGACUCCAACAGUCUAAACUUAAUUGAAAUGGGCAGCCAUCCCUUUGGUUCGUUAACAAAAUCAUAUAUAAGUCUAAUGAGCAAUUUAUUAAGAAAAACAGUCACAUAAAUGGAGAUGGAACAUCAGAAACAAAUUCAUUCAUGAUUUCAGCCAUUUUUAUGGAGAAAUAGUAAAGAUUCAGGAAUGUGUACCUAAAAUACUUGACAAAUAGAGUUUGAAACAGCUGAUAAAGGACAGAAAUGGAGAUGAAGGAAGCUCAGGUACGAUUUUGAUAGCAAACAGCAGAAGAAUAGCUAUGUCGACCUCAACUUCAAUCCAAAAACAAAUGAGAAACCCAUAAAUUCUCCAAGUAACACAACAGAAAUCAGAAAACCUUUUUAAUCUUUUUUUUUCGUUUUUCUUUUUCAGAUCCGGAUGUAGAAAAAUGGAAAUUCAGGGAUUUUGUUUUAACUUUUUUCAUAGGUGAGAUGUGUGUGCAUGAUGGCGAAUUCUCGGCUUCCUUUUGCAUGAAAGGGAAUGGGUGAGUGAGGAAGGAGACCAGGCGGCUAGGGUUUUCAAAGGGGGAUCCGUC